GGCCGGGGGCGGCCGAGAGCGCCGGGCGCGCGGCUUCCGAAGUCGCCAGCGGCCCUGGAGACUUGACUUCGCUCUCUCCUCCCGCCCCCCCUGCCGGUCACCGUACAAAUUCUCCGGAUCGUCUGGAUUAGAAUCGGGUUCUAUAGAAUGUGCAAGCGGUUUCCACUCACCCGGCGGGGAGGCCAAAAAUGAAAAGAGAGGGUAGUUCUCAAGCGAAGAAGCGGGUGCUUUAGAGCCUGCCUGCUGCUUUAUAUUUGUGCUCCUGGAUUCUAGCUAUAGUAUAAGUUCCCUUGAAGAUAAAGAAUGGAACCCAGGUUUCUUCCAUAUCACCGUCAACACGUGGCAGAGAGCUGAACUUGCGAUGGAAUCUCUUUAAUUCUUGACAAUCAACAUUGAUUAGAAGUCACAUCUGUCUAGAAAAUAACCCCAAGAAAACUACAGAAAUCACCUCAAAAAUAAAUGAAAAAAGCUGUUGUUUUCCUGCCUCCAUACCAUGCUCCCACUUGACACUGAUGGAGGAAGUCACCGAUUUUCAGUUAAAAAUGCGAUAGGAGUGAAAAUGCAGUUAGAAGCUACAGGUAGGCUUUGGGUUUCUGUUCUGAGCCAUCGCUGCUGGCGAAUACAUGUGUGAAAUGCUAGUUACCAUAGCAACCAGUGCUGCAAGAUUUUUUUUUUCACUUUGGUUUAUGAAUCCAAAUCAAUAAAUGUUUAUAAAUAACUCUCCAAUUGGCUAAAAGAAGUAGAAGCACAAGCCAGAACAAUCCUUCUGUCCUGUGAAUGUGAGUCAUACAUAUGUUGGCCACAUUCUGGGGACAGAAAAAGGCUAUCAAUGGAAUAAACAAUUGGCCACAUCAUUUUCUUUGCAAGAGCAAUUAGGAAAAACCCUGCUGAGUGAAAAUCUAUUUCACAUGCUUACUGACAACAAAGAAUACAAAGUAUGCUCACCCAAGGGGCAUCAAGAGAAGACUGCAGAAAUCACUGACUUCAGUAAUACAGAUACUAGGUCUGAAAGAGAACAUUGAUGUAAUUGCACCUAAGUGAUGAUACUGAAGUUCAAAUGGAGUAGGUAGAGACAUUAUUCUGCAUUUGUGGAUUUACAUGUUCUCUAGGAUAUGCAAGCAGAAUUCAUACAAACGUAGAAUUUGCUCUGAAGAGUCCCAACAAAAAUCAAAUCAGGCCACCAACCAGGGUAAGGAUUCUUUCUAUAGCAUUCCAAACAGAUGGUCAAACAGCCUCUCUCAGGAUAUUUUUAGUGAAAGGGAAAGUCAUUUUUCUCCAAUCUCUAUCUAGUAGCUGUUAGAUUUAUUUCCUGAGCCAAAAUCUCCUCCCACUCUCAUCCUUUAACUCGUAUCCAUUGGUCUUAGUUUGUUCUUUGGCACAACAAAGAACUAAUCCAUGUGGUUCCUCCUCUUGGUGACAGCCUUUCCAACCUUUGCAAGCAGCCACCAAGUGCUUCUUUAGUCUUCUCUUACUCUUGGUUUAGUUUUCACCUCUCCCCUCUCAGGAUGCCCUUGACUUGUCAGCAUUCUUCUCUAAAUGUGGAUGCCCCGAAUAAUCUGUACAAAUCCCCAGAUGUGAGUUAAGAUUUCAGAGCACAGUGAAACAACUUCCUGUGCUUUUUCUAUCUAUGGAUUUGGCUAAGUUUAUGUUCAAAUUUUCUUUUCUUUCCCCAUGCCACACCCCUUUUUUUUUUAUAGCCACACCACACCAUUAGCACAUAGUAAACUUCUGGUAGGCUAAAACACACAGGGCACCCCAUCCCAGAAUAGGAACAAAUUAUGUAAAUAUUUCUCCCAGGAAGAACCCAACUGGGACAGGGAUUCCCUGGCAAGCCACUACCCUGACAAGCAAAAAUGAACAGCUGUUCUGAUCAUUUUGGCAAACAUUUUUGCUGGCUGACAUAAAAUGGAGAAGGAGUAAUUGUCCACAAGCUGUGGUUUGAAGGGUCAUAGAGAAGUGUACCACCCCAAAAUGUGUCACUCAUCCAAAUGCCAAAAUAGCUGGAAUUUUACGAUUUGGAAAGGUUAGCAAAUCCUGGCUAUUUUUUCCCCAAAAGGACAUAUUAAAUCACUAACAAUUUAGUGUGAAUAGGAUGACCACAUUUCUUUCUUCCAGGCAAAGAAAACUUGGGACAGUAAGAAAACACUAACUUUCUGGAUUUGAAGAGAAGGGAGAGGAGUUAAAAUCAGGGGAAAACUUUUGAAAGAAGUAGUAGGAUAGCCCAAAGCUUUACCUGUUUGCUCUGCUUCAUUGUUAAUGCUGUCUAUGGCCAGGGCAAAAGUCACAAACUCAAAUGGACACCAGUGAAAGAAAUAGGAGGGUAGAAGAAAAACUACAGCGAUGAUAUAAUAAAUGGACCCAGGACAAUGGGGGAGUGCUGGGAGCAUUGCAAUCUGGAGGCUUCCACUAAAAGGGCAACCACAGCUCAGCUUCAGCCAAAUAUCUCAAAGGCCCUGUAUUGGCAGAUCUUUUAGACUUUUGGAAAUCUGAAGAUUUAUGUAAAAUCUUCAAGUUUGGGACCAUUGACCAAUACUUUGAGGGUGAAACAAAAUAUCUGUACUGCCAAAUAUUAGGGUCUAUGUCAAUAGGAUAGAAGCCGUCCUUACAGGGUUAACAAGAAUUCUGGACAGAAAUAUAAUUCUAAUUAAGCAUUAAUCAGACUGUAUUUUUGGAGCAGGUCAAAACUCCCAUGCUGAUCAAUACUGGGAUUGUGUCUGUGAAUAGCUGCUGCACUCCAGCCUGGGCAACAUAGUGAGAACCUGUCUCUUAAAAAAAAAAAAAUCAGGCUGCACUUUGACUCACUUCCUUGUAACCAACAGUCAGGUAGCACUAGAUAUUGACUAUUUGCAUCCCCAUUAUUCCUACAGAUAGGAUUUCUGACAGAAUCAUAAGGCUUUUGUUUGAGAAUUGCUUAAGAUGUUUUUCAGAUCUCGAAUUCCAAUGAAAUAGCUGACAGGCUGACACCAGCCAGCUUGAAGACCCCCACAGAGGAAUGGGAUCAGCAUGAGAAUAUAGUUGAUAUAGUUUGGCUGUAUAACCCAAAUCUCAUCUUGAAUUCCCACGUGUUGUGGGCCGGACCUGGUGGGAGAGAGAAUUGAAUCACGUGGGCAAGUCUUUCCUAUGCUGUUCUCAUGAUAGUGAAUAAGUCUCACAAGAUCUGAUGGUUUUAAAAAGAGGAGUUCCCCUGCACAAGCUCUCUCUCUUUGCCUGCUGCCAUCCAUGUAAGAUGUGACUUGCUUCUUCUUGCCUUUCGCCAUGAUUGUGAGGCUUCCCCAGCCACAUGGAACUGUAAGUCCAAUUAAACCUCUUUCUUUUAUAAAUUGCCCAGUCUCAGGUAUGUCUUUAUCAGCAGCAUGGAAAUGGAUUAAUACAACAGUUUCUUCAUCUCCCUGUCCCAUGACUUCACUCUAUACUCUUUGACCAAUCAACAGUCUCCAUGAUUCCACCCAUUCCGAAACCCUUGAAAACACUGGCCCCAAACUCCACAGGGAGACAGAUUUGUGGUUUCCUCCCAUGGCCUCAUUUGGCAUCCCUGCAAUUAAA
rnacentral:lncRNA from 1 species